GCAGUAAGGAAUAUUGGUCAAUGGAGGCAACUCUGAACCAGCCAUGCCGCGUGCAGGAAGACAGCCCUAUGGGUCGUAAACUGCUUUUAUGUCGGAAUAAACCUAUUUACGUGUAAGUAGCUGAAUGUACGGCAAGAAUAAGGAUCGGCUAACUCCGUGCCAGCAGCCGCGGUAAUACGGAGGAUCCAAGCGUUAUCCGGAUUUAUUGGGUUUAAAGGGAGCGUAGGCGGUCUGUUAAGUCAGGGGUGAAAGACGGUGGCUCAACCAUCGCAGUGCCUUUGAUACUGACGGACUUGAAUAUAGUUGAGGUAGGCGGAAUGUGACAAGUAGCGGUGAAAUGCAUAGAUAUGUCACAGAACACCAAUUGCGAAGGCAGCUUACUAAGCUAUGAUUGACGCUGAGGCUCGAAAGCGUGGGGAUCAAACAGGAUUAGA
rnacentral:rRNA from 1 species